rnacentral:lncRNA from 1 species
AAUAUAUAAUAUAAGUAAAUACACAAUUUAAAAAAAAUGGAAAAAGUACAUUAAGAUUUAAAUAUAUAUUUUUAAAUAUAAAAUAUAGAUAUUACGUAAAUAAAAAUAUAAGAAUUGUUUUUUAAAAAAAAAGGAAAAAGUUCAUUAAGCAUUAAACAUCUAUCUUAAAAUGUAAAAUAUAUAAUAUAAGUAAAUACACAAUUUAAAAAAAAUGGAAAAAGUACAUUAAGAUUUAAAUAUAUAUUUUUAAAUAUAAAAUAUAGAUAUUACGUAAAUAAAAAUAUAAGAAAUGGAAAUAAACAUUUUAAAAAAUAGAAAAAAUACAUUAAGAUUUAAACAUCUAUCUUAAAAUGUACAUAUCUCUUAAAAUGGUAGUAAAUUAUAUAAAAAUUGAAAUACCACAUUAAACAAAAAAAAAACAAAAAUUUAUAGUUUUACAUCAAGAAAAUCUUUAUAAAACUCAUUAUUCCAUCAACCUCACCCUAUCAAGGAAAACUUCAAAGCACUCGAGCAAAAAAAUGGUUCCACCAUCAACUUUUGCCGUCCCAAAAACCUUUAAUGACCUUGAAUGAGAUUUUUUAUAACAACAAACUUUUUGUUAGGUGGAUUCAUUGUUGGGAAACCCGCAACUUUCAAAAGCCAAACUUAUUUAUGGGAAUUGAAUUGCUUUUCAUAGACUCAAAGGUAUUCUUACAAAUUUAAUUAAUCUAAUCCAUAAUUUUAUUGUUAAUAUUCAUAGUAACUCUUUCAUGAUCAAACUAUUACAGUUAAUAACCAUUCAAGCGUUUAUCCCGAAACACUUCCUUCCUCACC